CCUACGGGUGGCAGCAGUGGGGAAUAUUGCACAAUGGGCGAAAGCCUGAUGCAGCAACGCCGCGUGAGCGAUGAAGGCCUUCGGGUCGUAAAGCUCUGUCCUCAAGGAAGAUAAUGACGGUACUUGAGGAGUAAGCCCCGGCUAACUCCGUGCCAGCAGCCGCGGUAAUACGUAGGGGGCUAGCGUUAUCCGGAAUUACUGGGGGAAAGGGGUGCGGAGGUGGUUGCUUAAGUCAGAGGUGAAAGGCUAGGGCUCAACCGUAGUAAGCCUUUGAAACUGGGGAACUUGAGUGCAGGAGAGGGGAGUGGAAUUCCAGGUGUAGCGGUGAAAUGCGUAGAGAUUAGGAGGAACACCAGUGGCGAAGGCGGCUCUCUGGACUGUGACUGACACUGAGGCACGAAAGCGUGGGGAGCAAACAGGAUUAGAUACCCUGGUAGUC
rnacentral:rRNA from 1 species